rnacentral:rRNA from 1 species
GGUGAACGCUGGCGGUAGGCCUAACACAUGCAAGUCGAACGGCAGGACAGUAAGCGCUUGCUCUUACGGGUGGCGAGUGACGGACGGGUGAGAAAUGCAUAGGAAUCUAAUUUUUCGGGGGGGAUAACGUAGAGCAACUGACACUACUACCGAAUACGACCUACGGGUGGAAGCAGGAGAUAAUCAGAGCUUGGCCGACUGAAUGAGACGAUGUCGGAUUAGCUAGUUGGCGGGGUAAAGGCACACCAAGGCGACGAUCCGUAGCUGGUCUGAGAGGAUGAUCAGCCACACUGGAACUGAGACACGGUCCAGACUCCUACGGGAGGCAGCAGUGGGGAAUAUUCGACAAUGGGCGCAAGCCUGAUCCAGCCAUACCGCGUGGGUGAAGAAGGCCUUCGGGUUGUAAAGCCCUGUUGUUGGGAAAGAAAAGCAGCAUGUUUAUACCCCGCCGUCCUGACGGUACCCAAAGAAUAAGCACCGGCUAACUUCGUG